CAGUGUUACAGCUUUUAGAAUUUGUCUAGCAGGCUUUCCGCUCUUCAUUGGAAAGCCCAU
ensembl:snRNA U7 U7 small nuclear RNA